rnacentral:rRNA from 1 species
UGCAGUCGUGGGGCAGCAUGGGUGUAGCAAUACAUCUGAUGGCGACCGGCAAACGGGUGCGGAACACGUACACAACCUUCCUUUAAGUGGGGAAUAGCCCAGAGAAAUUUGGAUUAAUACCCCGUACAUUAUGAUGUGGCAUCACAUUAUAAUUAUAGCUACGGCGCUUAAUGAUGGGUGUGCGGCUGAUUAAUAGUUGGCGGGGUAACGGCCCACCAAGUCUACGAUCAGUAACUGGUGUGAACACGACCAUCACACGGGCCUGAACACGGGCCCGACUCCUACGGAGGCGCAGUAAGAAUAUUGGUCAAUGCGCAGUCUGAGCCCCAUGCCGCGUGGGGAUAGCCCUCUGGGUUGUAAACUUCUUUUAUAUGGGACGAAAAAGGGUCUUUCUAAUCAACUGAGGUAAUUAAAAGACUAAUCGCCAGCCGCGUAUCAAGGGGGGUUAUUCGUUGGG